rnacentral:rRNA from 1 species
UUUCAGAACAAGACUUCGUCUCAAGCUCCAAGAUCAAGUGCUCCGUAUCACCGUCCGCUCUCAGAGGUCACAUGUAACAAGUAUGAGCAGAAGGGUCACUAUGCCAACAAAUGCUUCAAUCAGAGGCGUCUCCCUCCUCCUCCUCCUCCUGUGAGAUCUGCUAGUACCGCAGUGGUCAAGCAUAACCCCAAGCACGCCAAGGUCAACUUGUUGAAAGCAACUCAGGCAGAGGACUCGUCAGAUGUGAUUAUGGGUAACCUUCCUGUUAACGAUGUUCCUGCAAAAGUUCUUUUUGACACUGGUGCUUCGCUUUCUUUU